rnacentral:rRNA from 1 species
CGGAGGGCGCGAGCGUUGUUCGGAAUCACUGGGCGUAAAGCGCGCGCAGGCGGGACUAGCAAGUCGGGAGUGAAAUCUCGGAGCUCAACUCCGAGGCUGCUUCCGAAACUGCGGACCUGGAGACUGGUAGAGGUGGGUGGAAUUCCCGGUGUAGCGGUGGAAUGCGUAGAGAUCGGGAAGAACACCGGUGGCGAAGGCGGCCCACUGGGCCAGUUCUGACGCUGGGGCGCGAAAGCGUGGGGAGCAAACAGGAUUAGAUACCCUGGUAGUCCACGCCGUAAACGAUGGGCACUAGGUGCCGGGGGGAGCGACCCCGUCGGUGCCGUAGCUAACGCGAUAAGUGCCCCGCCAGGGGAGUACGGCCGCAAGGCUG